rnacentral:rRNA from 1 species
AUACGGAGGACGCGAGCGUUAUCCGGAUUCAUUGGGUUUAAAGGGUGCGCAGGCGGCCGUGCAAGUCAGCGGUGAAAGCCCGGGGCUCAACCCCGGAAGUGCCGUUGAUACUGCAUGGCUGGAAUGCGGUCGAGGCGGGCGGAACGGGGCGUGUAGCGGUGAAAUGCGUAGAUAUGCCACAGAACGCCGAUAGCGGAGGCAGCUCGCCAGGCCUGCAUUGACGCUCGGGCACGAAAGCGUGGGGAUCGAACAGGAUUAGAUACCCUGGUAGUCCACGCCGUAAACGAUGGGCGCUCGUCGUCGGCGGCAGACAGUCGGCGGCCAAGCGAAAGCGAUAAGCGCCCCACCUGGGGAGUACGGUCGCAAGGCUGAAACUUAAAGGAAUUGACGGGG